rnacentral:lncRNA from 1 species
UACCUACGUAAGAACUAAUAAGAUAGUAAUAUUACUGUGUUUUUAGAAUUCCAAUAAGUUUGCCUUGUCCCUUGUAAUUCUCACUGUUAUAAGCAUUCGGUAUUUCUUCAUCUUCCUGCAUUUUUUAACCAUUAUAGACAUCUCUAGAAUCAGUGUCUAACAUGUAUUCUCUUCCUCUCAUUUACAAAAAUAAUGUACUCAUGUUUGCUUUUCAUCCUCCCAUUUUCUUUGACAAAUUUGAAGUUUUUGUCACCAACUUUGAACCAUUUGCACUUUUAUCUCUACUUUAUUUCUCUACUGUGCUGUUCCUAACGUUUCACUUUUAGGAUGACGAGCUAUAUACAAGUUAAGACAGGCCUAAG